rnacentral:rRNA from 1 species
AGUGAACGCUGGCGGUAGGCCUAACACAUGCAAGUCGAACGGCAGCACAGUAAGAGCUUGCUCUUACGGGUGGCGAGUGGCGGACGGGUGAGGAAUACAUCGGAAUCUACUUUUUCGUGGGGGAUAACGUAGGUAAACUUACGCUAAUACCGCAUAUGACCUACGGGUGAAAGCAGGGGAUCUUCGGACCUUGCGCGAUUGAAUGAGCCGAUGUCGGAUUAGCUAGUUGGCGGGGUAAAGGCCCACCAAGGCGACGAUCCGUAGCUGGUCUGAGAGGAUGAUCAGCCACACUGGAACUGAGACACGGCCCAGACUCCUACGGGAGGCAGCAGUGGGGAAUAUUGGACAAUGGGCGCAAGCCUGAUCCAGCAAUACCGCGUGGGUGAAGAAGGCCUUCGGGUUGUAAAGCCCUUUUGUUGGGAAAGAAAAGCAGCAGGUUAAUACCCCGCUGUUAUGACGGUACCCAAAGAAUAAGCACCGGCUAACUUCGUG